CCCAAAAUGUCGGAUGCGACGCUGGCGCGUCUUAUCCGACCUGCGGGGAUGAAUAUGUAGGCCGGAUAAGGCGUUCACGCCGCAUCCGGCAAUGGUGUCCAAAUGCA
rnacentral:misc_RNA from 1 species